rnacentral:piRNA from 1 species
UGAGAUUUGCCAAUGAUUUGAUCUUCAUGA